AACGAACGCUGACGGCAGGCUUAACACAUGCAAGUCGAGCGCCCCGCAAGGGGAGCGGCAGACGGGUGAGUAACACGUGGGAAUCUGCCUUUUGAUUCGGGAUAACCGCGGGAAACUGCGGCUAAUACCGAAUGCCCUCGAGAGAGGAAAGAUUUAUCGCCAGAAGAGGAGCCCGCGUCCGAUUAGGUAGUUGGUGGGGUAAAGGCCUACCAAGCCGACGAUCGGUAGCUGGUCUGAGAGGAUGAUCAGCCACACUGGUACUGAGAUACGGCCCAGACUCCUACGGGAGGCAGCAGUGGGGAAUAUUGGACAAUGGGGGCGAACCCUGAUCCAGCAAUGCCGCGUGAGUGAUGAAGGCCUUAGGGUUGUAAAGCUCUUUUGCCAGGGAAGAUGAUGACUGUACCUGGAGAAUAAG
rnacentral:rRNA from 1 species